rnacentral:rRNA from 1 species
UACGGAGGGUGCAAGCGUUAAUCGGAAUUACUGGGCGUAAAGGGCACGUAGGCGGGUUUUUAAGUGAGAUGUGAAAUCCCCGGGCUUAACCUGGGAAUUGCAUUUCAGACUGUGAGUCUUGAGUACUUGAGGGGGGGGUGGAAUUCCACGUGUAGAGGUGAAAUGCGUAGAUAUCAGGAGGAACACCGAAGGCGAAGGCAGCUCCUUGGGAAUGUACUGACGCUGAUGUGCGAAAGCGUGGGGAGCAAACAGG